CAUUCUCUCCGAGGGCCAGCCGCCCGUCUCUCCCGCCCCUCCUCCUCCCUUUCCCACCCCUCGGAGUGGAGCUGCACAUGCGGCUGCUCCCUGCUCCGUCCCGCCCAGCGCCCGUAGCGCAGGAACGGGUCCCUGCAGCCCCCAGCCGAUGGCAGGACAGUAGCCGCCUGUCAGGGGUCGUGAACCGCUGAGGCAGACGCGGCGGCUCCCGGGCCUCAGAGAGUGGGCGUCUCCGGAGGCCAUGGGCUACCCCGAGGUAGAGCGAAGGGAACCUCUGCCCGCGGCAGCGCCGCGGGAGCGGGGGAGCCAGGGCUGCGGCUGUCGCGGGGCCCCUGCCCGGGCGGGCGAAGGGAACAGCUGCCGGCUCUUCCUGGGUUUCUUUGGCCUCUCGCUGGCCCUCCACCUGCUGACGUUGUGCUGCUACCUGGAGUUGCGCUCUGAGUUGCGGCGGGAACGGGGAGCCGAGUCCCGCCUUGGCGGCCCCGGCACCCCUGGCACCUCUGGGACCCUCAGCAGCUCCGGUGGCCUGGACCCUGACGGUUCCAUCACCCGCCACUUCGGGCAGCCGUCACCUCAGCAGCAGCCCCUGGAACCGGGAGAAACCACAUUCCCCCCAGACUCCCAGGACGGGCACCAGGUGAGUCACCUAGUAGGGGUGGCGGCGGCAGAGGCCCCCUCCCCUUGUGGGCAGGGCGGGGGCCCUCCCCCACAGGGCCCUGGGGAGGACUCUGCCACCUCGAGCUAAGUUGGAGGGUAGGACCAGGGAGGGGGCAGGCGGGCGUGGGAGAGGUUGCCCCGGGGCAGGUUGUCCCCGACCCCUGGCUCGGCUCACCCAGACUCUCUCAGGACCCCAGGACUUGGGAACUCUGGCCUGCGCCCGCUGUCCCCGGCUACAGGCUGCCUCGGGAAAAGUUGGCUGCGCUCCCGGCCGGGCCGGGGGGCGGAGGUGCCGGCGCUGCCCUUCUGGCGGACUAACGGCAGCAACUUGGCCCUUCUGCUCCUGGUGAGAUUCUCUGCCCGCGGUGCUUGUUUUUUCGUGCCCAGAGCUGAUGCCAGCACUAGCAGGCUCUCCUUUGGUGUUGGAGCUGUAAACAGCUGUAAUAAAUGCUCCACGCCCGUUGAAACAACUUUUAAUCGUAUUUUCAGCGCGGAUCUUUCUGCGCUGACCAGAACGUGGGCUUGUUCACACUUACCUGCAAUUUGAGACUGGUUGUCCUCAGUGUUCUAGUGAGGAUCAGGGCCCUGAG